rnacentral:rRNA from 1 species
UACGAAGGGGGCUAGCGUUGCUCGGAAUGACUGGGCGUAAAGGGCGCGUAGGCGGCUUGCACCGUCAGAUGUGAAAUUCCUGGGCUUAACCUGGGGGCUGCAUUUGAUACGUGUGGGCUUGAGUGCGGAAGAGGGUCGUGGAAUUCCCAGUGUAGAGGUGAAAUUCGUAGAUAUUGGGAAGAACACCGGUGGCGAAGGCGGCGACCUGGUCCGUGACUGACGGCUGAGGCGCGAAAGCGUGGGGAGCAAACAGG